rnacentral:lncRNA from 1 species
GUUUGAUUGGGUUAAGUCCUAGGAUCGUGUGGUCGUGGUUUAGGGACUUUAGGUCAGCCUCCCUCAUUGGGAGAAAUCCGUUUCCAGCGGUGGGCCUCCAGUCCGGGCCCAGCUUGUGUUUUUUUUUAGCACCCCCAUUUUCGAAUGAGGGGCCUUUUUUUAUUUAUUUAUUUUCUAUUUUGAUUAGGACUAAGGAAGGCCCAUCUCCUUUUCAAGAUUGCUGUUUUUUUUAUA